rnacentral:tRNA from 2 species
UAAGAACUAGUUAAUUUAUAACAUUAAAAUGUCAUUUUAAAAUUAUUAAUUUUUAUUAAUAUUCUUAA